GUAAGCAACCAUGAUGGACUCGCUCCUUCCCCUCGUAUUACUGAGGAGAGAAGGGGAGGAAAGUCCGAGCUCCUCAGGGCAGGAUGCUGGGUAAUACCCAGUCCCGGUGACGGGAAGGAAAGUGCCACAGAAAAUAUACCGCUGCGGGGACGGAUCCUUCCGUUUAUCCCCUUCGGUCCGGGUCCCCGGAUGCAGAAGGUUCGCAGUAAGGGUGAAAAGGUGCGGUAAGAGCGCACCAGUACCCCGGGUAACCGGAGUAGCUUGGUAAACCCCAUCCGGAGCAAGACCAAAUAGGAAAACGUUUAAGGCUGCCCGCUACAGUUUUCGGGUAGGUCGCUCGAGAUACCGGGUAACCGGUAUCCCAGAUGAAUGUCUAUCGCCCGGUAUUUACCCGGGAACAGAACUCGGCUUACUGGUUGCUUGCCCAU
rnacentral:RNase_P_RNA from 2 species